UCAUCUACCUCAUCUACGGAGAACUCCACAUUAAUCAUCCUCAUCUUACCGUGCUCCAACUCCACCCAUCUUGCCAGAUUCUUCACCGCACCAGCCCUUCCUUGGCCGAUCUCCUCUCUGGCCGCUGGCCUUGCGUGUAGGUCCUCCGAAGCCGUGGUCAUCACCGAGCCGCUUCCGCAGUCCUCCGCAGCCACCGUAGAUCGGUUGCCCCGAACAGCCGCCACCGACAACUACGACGUCGUCGGCAGGGCGGAGCGCAGAGGAUGGUGGUACCAGAGAAAUCCAACGGCGGGAGCGGGGAAGAGGCGCAUGGACGGAGGGGAUCCCAGUGGCGGCGGUCCUCUCGUGGUGCUCCCUGGGCGGUUAUUCAUCGGGCCAUGCCACGGGGAUACAGUGGGAGAAGCGGUGGGAUGUGCUGACCCACUGCCACGGUCUCCUUCGCGGGCGUCGGCCAUGGCCUCGAUCGGGUCCCCCUGGGAGUGCUGGCCGUCAUCAAGGCGCUCUAGCUGCCCCCAGCGUUGCCUUUUCCACUGUAGCUCCUCACCUGGAUGGCGGCCGACGACCCCGCCGGACUGGUUCGCCGUGCUGCACGUGGGGAGGAGCUGUUGCGGGUGGGGAGUUGCCUCAUCUGCGGGAUUCUUGGCUGGACAUGGCGCCGCUAUGUCGCUGAGGGGCACGGUCUUCAUCCCGGCGGCUGCUCCGGAACAACCAAAUCGGCCGCCUCCACGAGGAUGGAGUCCACGGCAGACAUCCUGCCGCUCACUUUGUAGUACACCAUCACAUCGUCUCCAUCGCACUCCCUGUCACCUGCACGCGUGAGAGUGUAUUUCAUCUUCUCAUACGGCCGUUCUUCAGACGGGUGCUACUACUGCAGGUAUGUGCGUACUGCAAUGAACCGCGCCGAGCCUAGGCCGCGUCUAGCUGGUUUGGUCUUCUAGCAGUUUUGUUGGUCCAUGGAGAGCCGAUGGUUCUAUGGAAGAUUUACUCAUGGAGCACGAUAGAUUGCAGGUUCGGUAGUAGCGAUUUUUUGUGUUUCCAGUUGUUCUGUUACAUGUUCAAUCUUGCAAAGGGAAAGCCUGAACCUUUUUCCAAUCGUGAUUUACUCUGUUGUUUAAAGUUUCUGAAUUUUCUGAGACUGAUGACCUAAUUUCCUCACUGUUAUAAAUUGGGUCAUGUUUUAUAUUGUUCAGUAAGUUUCUGUCCAAUAGAUCUAGAAGGGGAGCUGGUCAUGGGAUUCUGACGGAAAAAAGACUCGAACACAGUAAGUUUCUGUUACAGUUCUUAUAUAAACAAAUUGCAUUGACAUGUUCUAAUAUAUGCCUGCAACCAUCUAUUUGUUCUGUUCGACUCUUUGUGUGAUGUACUAAUAUGCAAGUUAGACUCAGACGCUAUUUCUUACAUGAAUGCUUAAAAUAUGUAUUUGAAGUGAGCCAUUUGUUGAUCAUAUAUAUAUCCCAUGUAUUUUCGUUUAGCUAUUUCAGUAUACCGAAGGUUGGCUUCCACACACUUCUAUAGUUACUUGCUCCAACAACUUAGUUCAGCUCUUGCUUACCUUCCAUUGAUAAGUAUUGUUACCAAAUAUAUACAGGUUUCCAUUACAGCUUGAAAUGAUAUUUGUUGAUAGCUUGAUUUAUCAUAAUUAUAAUACUACUGCUGAUCUUAAGAUAAAUUUUGUAUAUGGAUGGAGACACAAAUAUAGUUAGAUGAUUGUAUUUCUCCCAGUAUUAACAUAUGCUUUUAACGUUUCUUAUUUAAUGAGUAUUCUUAGUAACGCCAAAAUCUUGGAAGUGCAGUCCAAAUUCAGUUCCCUGACAUUUAUAUCAUGUUUAAGAACAUAUAUUGGAUACCACUUAUUAGAGAGUGGCAAAGUUGAUGUUGGCUUCAGGAUUGUCUCAUGUAUUUCCGAUGUGAUUCAAACAAAAGGUACUCACUGUGAAGUGUCAUGCUUAAACACCUAAGUCUGUACAACAUCAACUUUUUAUUUACUAAUCGUUCAUUUGGCUCAUCUUUUGGAUGUUAAUUUAUUUUACCUUGUGGUAACUGGAUGAUUUAUUCAUCUUAUGUUUAGUAAGAUAUUUGUUUAUUCAAGUGCUUGAAUACAUAUUAUUCGAUGUGUCUAAGCGCGCAACUGGCAAGCAAAACAAACCAAUUUCGUGUUGCAGUCCCAUCUAACAUCUCUAUUAUUGAACCAUGACACUACAUCAACACAAGCAAAAGCCUAUUGUGCUUUUUGUUAACAUACCCAUCUAACAUCUCUAUUACUGAACCAUGACACUACAUUAAAACAAGCAAAAUCCUAUUGUGCGUUUUUGUCAAUAUAUUCUAUUUAACUAACCACAAGGACAUCAUUUUCCUCAUAUUAGCAGGAGCAUGAACAUCAUCACCUACCAGUUUUUUGUUCAUUUAUAACAUUGAAAAUUUAUCGAGGUGCUCACGGGUUAUCCGAUUAUAUGGAACUGAACUGUGGAUUUUGAAUUCCUCCUUCAAUCUACCUUGGGUUAGAAAAUUAUAUGGAAUUGUGAUCUGCAUUUUGAAUUGCUUCUUCAAUCUACCUUGGUGUAUACAGGUUUGAUGAUAUUUGUCAAGAACGUGAUCCUGAGGAUUAUGUGAUAGCAAAUCAACUUUUCUCUUCAAAUUGAUAAAAUAAUAUUUACCAUCGUGUAUCCCAUGAUUUUCUGCCAAAACCGUGCCAUAGUCAUAAUAUGUACGAUAGAAAUAUCUAUUAUUAUUGCACCCAUGGCUACCAGCAGGGUGCAACAUGACGCCACAGUGGUCCUUGCACCGAGGGUUUUUCCACCAUUAAUUUAUCUGUUGUCUGAACUUCCCUGCUAUCAUGCACUUGCACCGCUGAUUCAUAUGUUGUGAAGCUAGAGUUUCUUCUUCUUAGAAACUCCUUAAUUAUUAGGAUCUCUUAUAAGAAAUAUCUUAUAGAUUUUCCUUUGGGGAGUAUCAGUUUGUUUUGCUACAUCUACAAUAGUUCUGGUUGGUCUGAUGGCCAGCUAAAAGAAUGGACUACUUUAGUUGGCCUUGAAAGUAUGAAGUUUCUGUAUAUUUUGAAAUAUUGCAAAUGCUGUAUCUAAAUCUUCUUAGUCAUUAUAUUCCAGCUGUACUAUCAAUAUUACGUUGUUUAAUUUUUAUUGAUUGGUACCUGAAUUAUUUAUGCGGAAUCUGGUUACGGAGAGUUUUACUACUGUGAUUCAUACAUGGUUCUGCAAGCUAUUUUCUCACCCCUUGUGUUCAUUUGAUACAUCAUUGAACUUUUUAUUUAUUUCUUCCAUAACACAAAGGUUACUAAAUUAUUUCUUUAUAUUUUCUAGGCAGUAUGUCCGGAUGACAGAUUAUACUGCAAAAGAUUCAAGUCAGGGCAAACGCUACAAGAUAUCUGUUAGAAUCACUGAAGUUCUCACAAAAAAAGGGGUGGUAUUAUAUAAGCUGCAUAGAAUGCUGGAAGAAAGUAGGUUAGCGGAUGGAGUAUACAAAUGUCCUCGGUGCCCUACUGUUGUACCUCUGCCAAGACUUAUAUUUGUUUGGGCCCUGAGGAGAAGUUGUCUUUGGAAAAGAGGCAUUGAUGCUUGUGUCAAGUGUCAGAGGUCAAGCUGAUGCAGUGCCCCAUGAUUUGCUUGCCAUCACGGGAAGAGAAUUCAGUGUCAUUGUCACUCCCAAGGUGUGAAUCAUUAGAUGCAUUGCACAGCCACCUCCAGUUACAGAUUGCCGAGCCGAUUAUCUGUGCCAAUGUUACUCUGCAACAAGGCAUUUUAAGGGUCUCCCUAUUCCUCAAACUCCAAAGCAGGUUCAAGGCCCUGGUGAAACUUCAACUCCGGCACCGUCCAUGGAUCUUAUGCCACAGAGUACACCAUCAUCAGCUUCUAUAGUCGAUGAGUUAAAAUUGUGUUGUCUUAGCAGAGCACCUCUGUUUUUGAUUUUCUGACAAACAAUGCCUUCUGCCUAUAGACUGCCUCUGAUACUGCUGGAAGAACAAACUGCAAGAACGAUGGUGCUGGUAAGAACCUCAAGUCGAAGAAGGGAUUGCAUUUCUGAGAUGAUGACUAGGUUGCUUCACACGUUCUCGCGCACGUAUCAUACAACUCGCAUAGAGAGUGAAGGAUUGGAUAAUUCAGUCGUCAGAAGUACUGCAUCUACUACCGUUUCUACUAUCUACAAGCUAUUCUCUGGCUGGUAUAUGUAGCAAGUAGGCUUUGUUUUGGGGCAUGGUUCUGUUGUUCAAGGCCCAUAGGUUUAUCCUGUGUAUGCCUUUUUUUUUUAUAUCAAGGACCAGUAGACUGUUUAGACCAUGUCCUCAAGUCCUACGAGUUAUCUGUGCUCAUAGGUGUUAUGUCUGUUUUGUUAAAGAUCUACUACUUUGGCUGUCAUCACCUUCACUGUAUAAUACGUCCUUGCACACUCAUGUGUUA